AUUGAACGCUGGCGGCAUGCUUUACACAUGCAAGUCGAGCGGCAGCGCGGGGGCAACCCUGGCGGCGAGCGGCGAACGGGUGAGUAAUGCAUCGGAACGUAUCCUCGAGUGGGGGAUAACCCAGCGAAAGUUGGGCUAAUACCGCAUGAGCUCUGAGGAGGAAAGCGGGGGACCUGCGAGGGCCUCGCGCUGGAGGAGCGGCCGAUGUCCGUUUAGCUAGUUGGUGGGGUAAAGGCUUACCAAGGCGACGAUCGGUAGCUGGUCUGAGAGGAUGAUCAGCCAAACUGGAACUGAGACACGGCCCAGACUCCUACGGGAGGCAGCAGUGGGGAAUUUUGGACAAUGGGGGCAACCCUGAUCCAGCCAUGCCGCGUGAGUGAAGAAGGCCUUCGGGUUGUAAAGCUCUUUCGGACGGAACGAAAUGGGCGGGACUAAUACUCCUGUCUGAUGACGGUACCGAAAGAAGAAGCACCGGCUAACUACGUG
rnacentral:rRNA from 1 species